rnacentral:rRNA from 1 species
AACGUAGGAUCCGAGCGUUAUCCGAAUUCACUGGGCGUAAAGCGCGAGCAGGCGGCCUGCUAAGUUGGAUGUGAAACCUCCCGGCUCAACUGGGAGAGGACGUACAAUACUAGUAGGCUAGAGGGCAGUAGAGGGAGGUGGAAUUCCCGGUGUAGUGGUGAAAUGCGUAGAUAUCGGGAGGAACACCAGUGGCGAAAGCGGCCUCCUGGGCUGCACCUGACGCUGAGAUGCGAAAGCUAGGGGAGCAAACGGG